GGAGCCAGACGCCGAGGGGGCGGGGGCGUUCGCACAGGCAGCCGGCAGGCGCGUACUUAUUGGAGUCCGCGUCGCCGGAACUCCCGCCCUCCCGUCGUCAAAGGCCGGAGAUGCCGUCACUCACGUCCACGUGCGGGGACAGAGAAGCGCGGGGACCAAUGGAAAGAGAGGAUUCAUUUUGAGUGAGAUGUGGUGGCACACAGGUGUACUCCCACCACUGGAGAGGCUGAGGCAGGAGGACCGCCAUGAGUUUGAGGCCAGCCUGGAUACACAGUUCAAGACCAAGCUGAACUGCGUAGUGAGAGCCUGCCUCAAAAAACAACACCACACAAAACAAGGAUUUGUUUUAAGCAAAUAAAGAAAAAGAACUAAGAAAGGCUGAAUGAUGGUCACUUGUCU
rnacentral:lncRNA from 1 species